rnacentral:rRNA from 1 species
CACGUAAUGGUGGGCACUCUAAGGAGACUGCCGGUAGACGAAACCGGAGGAAGGUGGGGAUGACGUCAAGUCAUCAUGGCCCUUACGGCCAGGGCUACACACGUGCUACAAUGGUCGGUACAGAGGGUUGCCAAACCGCGAGGUGGAGCUAAUCUCACAAACCGAUCGUAGUCCGGAUCGCAGUCUGCAACUCGACUGCGUGAAGUCGGAAUCGCUAGUAAUCGUGAAUCAGAAUGUCACGGUGAAUACGUUCCCGGGCCUU